rnacentral:rRNA from 1 species
GACGAACGCUGGCGGCGUGCUUAACACAUGCAAGUCGAACGGAAAGGCCCUGCUUUUGUGGGGUGCUCGGGUGGCGAACGGGUGAGUAACACGUGAGUAACCUGCCCUUGACUUUGGGAUAACUUCAGGAAACUGGGGCUAAUACCGGAUAGGAGCUCCUGCUGCAUGGUGGGGGUGGGAAAGUUUCGGCGGUUGGGGAUGGACUCGCGGCUUAUCAGCUUGUUGGUGGGGUAGUGGCUUACCAAGGCUUUGACGGGUAGCCGGCCUGAGAGGGUGACCGGCCACAUUGGGACUGAGAUACGGCCCAGACUCCUACGGGAGGCAGCAGUGGGGAAUAUUGCACAAUGGGCGGAAGCCUGAUGCAGCAACGCCGCGUGCGGGAUGACGGCCUUCGGGUUGUAAACCGCUUUCGCCUGUGACGAAGCGUGAGUGACGGUAAUGGGUAAAGAAGCACCGGCUAACUACGUG